rnacentral:misc_RNA from 1 species
UGACACAGACUUGGAGGACGUUGCCUAGCAUGCAUUAUAAUCAGCAGAGGCAGUUGCUUAUGGUUGUUGAUAGAAAGGAUAGGUCAUUUAAAGUUAUUGCCACCAGCGAUAUUUAUGGUGACAGGUCUUUGCCAACGGAGGUAUAUGAUUCAAAGAUCGACAAAUGGUCGCUUCACCAGACAAUGCCUGCUGUAAACCUUUGUUCCUCCAAGAUGGCAUUUUGUGAUUCAAGACUGUAUUUGGAAACUCUCUCCCCACUUGGUUUGAUGAUGUAUCGGCUGG